UACGGAGGGUGCAAGCGUUAUCCGGAUUCACUGUGUUUAAAGGGUGCGUAGGCGGGCAGGUAAGUCAGUGGUGAAAUCUCCGGGCUUAACCCGGAAACUGCCGUUGAUACUAUCUGUCUUGAAUAUUGUGGAGGUAAGCGGAAUAUGUCAUGUAGCGGUGAAAUGCUUAGAUAUGACAUAGAACACCAAUUGCGAAGGCAGCUUACUACACAGUUAUUGACGCUGAGGCACGAAAGCGUGGGGAUCAAACAGG
rnacentral:rRNA from 1 species